rnacentral:tRNA from 1 species
GCCCAGAUCGCAUAAUGGAAUUGCGGAGGAUUGCUAAUCCUCUUUCACGCAAGUGAUGCCCAGGUUCGAUUCCUGGUCUGGGCG